UAGAACCGUGGCGAAAGAAUAACAAAUUAUUACGCGUGUACAUCCGAUCGUAUUUAUUCAACUCGGAACUGUGAUUGAAGUAGGCUUCAAUAUCACGGUUAAAUCAUACUACAGAUUUUAAAAAGAAAAACUUGUAAAUUCGUUUACAACCACUGAAAAUGAGAUAAACUGAUAUAGAACCGAAGAGCAAGAACAACAUGAAUUAGAAUGAUAUGUAGUGUGUAUUCGUGGAAACUGAAUGGUAACUGUAUUCGUAUUAGCAGACAGUGUAGAUUCGAAAAGAUCGCGAGAGACUUUGGAAGAGAUUUAUGAACGCUGGAAAUUAUAGUUCUUAUAGUUCUAGACGGAACUGGACCAAAUUCAACGAAACUGAAAGAAAACAAUGAAAUGUGGGAGGUAAAAUUACAAGGAAGGAGUUAUUAUAACGAAGGAAUUAAAGAAGAGCAACGAUGUGAAUUAAAAUGACAUAUAUACAGUAUGUAAUGUGAAUUUUGAUCGAAACCAUGCAUGAAAUUGGUGUGGAUCGAAAUAUUAAAGAACGCCAAAAAUUUCGAGAAAAUGGGUUUAUAAUUUAUAAAUUAAAAUACCAUAUACAAAGCUUCAAGUCUUCGCUACGGAAUGAAAAAUUGGUAAAAGACAAAAUAACAACGGUAUAAACAAAAAGAAAUUCGAGUAAGAACAGUGGAAAUAACUAGCUACAAAAGUACGCAUCAUUCAGUGAAAUAGACGUGAACAAUGACGAGUGAACCACAAAUCAAUCUUGUCGAUUUCGUAUAGAAUAAAACUCAUUUCUUAUUCGAGAAAAUCCAUGUCGAUUUUACGUAAUAGUCUCACCAAUUUAACGAGAAAGAAAUAAUUUCCUUACGGUAUUGUGAAAGGCAGUCUCGCCAUUGCACGUCCUCAAUAUCCACUAUAUUCUCUGCUUGGAUUUUAACAAAAAAAAAAAAGGAAAAGAAAGAACGAAGAUUUACAACUUCAGCUCAAUCUGCGAAUAAUCAUGUAAAAUAACGGAGGCGCAGGUUUUCUUUCGUAAUGAACAUCCUUUUAUUUCUGUCUUGUUGCUUUCAUGACAAGAAACGAAAGAAACUAUGGAAUUAUCGUUGUACGAAAACAAGGAUCGACGUUUUUCGGCUACCAUCUGAACACGAUAUGUUCGAAAUAUUGUACAGCGAACGAACAAUACGAAACUUUAAGGUUUCGUAACUUUAACAACGGGAAGAAUCGACGAAAAAACCGUUUAGAGAUCUACGCGCACCU